AUUAAUGUUACCGACAUUUGCAACUUAAACUUGACAUUUUUUCGUUGACUAAUUUUAGGCACAGUUAAAAAGUUAAUUUGACCAGUCUGUUUGUAAAUUCCGAGAAAUUAUUCCGGCUAAUAUUAAGACAAAAAAAAUGUUAUGCUAUGAAGAUGAUGCAAAUGAAUGUGAAACGAAAAAUUGGUUAGAGUUAAAAAUAGAGGGCAAAUUUUGGGGUGCAACACAGUCAAGAAAUA
rnacentral:lncRNA from 1 species